rnacentral:rRNA from 1 species
AGUUUGAUCCUGGCUCAGGAUGAACGCUAGCUGCAGGCUUAACACAUGCAAGUCGAGGGGCAGCAUUGGAGUAGCAAUACUUCAGAUGGCGACCGGCGCACGGGUGAGUAACACGUAUCCAACCUGCCGCUUACUCGGGGAUAGCCUUUCGAAAGAAAGAUUAAUACCCGAUGGUAUAAAGAGUUCGCAUGUUCUCUUUAUUAAAGAAUUUCGGUAAGCGAUGGGGAUGCGUUCCAUUAGAUAGUUGGCGGGGUAACGGCCCACCGAGUCUACGAUGGAUAGGGGUUCUGGGAGGAAGGUCCCCCACAUUGGAACUGAGACACGGUCCAAACUCCUACGGGAGGCAGCAGUGAGGAAUAUUGGUCAAUGGACGAGAGUCUGAACCAGCCAAGUAGCGUGAAGGAUGACUGCCCUAUGGGUUGUAAACUUCUUUUAUAAGGGAAUAAAGUGAGGGACGUGUCCCUUUUUGUAUGUACCUUAUGAAUAAGGAUCGGCUAACUCCGUGCCAGCAGCCGCGGUAAUACGGAGGAUCCAAGCGUUAUCCGGAUUUAUUGGGUUUAAAGGGAGCGUAGGUUGACAUAUAAGUCAGCUGUGAAAGUUUACGGCUCAACCGUGAAAUUGCAGUUGAUACUGUAUGUCUUGAGUGUACAAGAGGUGGGCGGAAUUCGUGGUGUAGCGGUGAAAUGCUUAGAUAUCACGAAGAACUCCAAUUGCGAAGGCAGCUCACUGGGGUACAACUGACACUGAGGCUCGAAAGUGUGGGUAUCAAACAGGAUUAGAUACCCUGGUAGUCCACACAGUAAACGAUGAAUACUCGCUGUUUGCGAUAUACAGUAAGCGGCCAAGCGAAAGCAUUAAGUAUUCCACCUGGGGAGUACGCCGGCAACGGUGAAACUCAAAGGAAUUGACGGGGGCCCGCACAAGCGGAGGAACAUGUGGUUUAAUUCGAUGAUACGCGAGGAACCUUACCCGGGCUUGAAUUGCAGAGGAACAUAGUUGAAAAAUUAUGGCCGCAAGGUCUCUGUGAAGGUGCUGCAUGGUUGUCGUCAGCUCGUGCCGUGAGGUGUCGGCUUAAGUGCCAUAACGAGCGCAACCCUUAUCAUUAGUUACUAACAGGUCAUGCUGAGGACUCUAGUGAGACUGCCGUCGUAAGAUGUGAGGAAGGUGGA